rnacentral:rRNA from 1 species
GUACACGCUGUGACUAGCAUAUCAAUAAGCGGAGGAAAAGAAACUAACAAGGAUUCCCUUAGUAACGGCGAGUGAAGCGGGAAGAGCUCAAAUUUGAAAUCUUAAGGGGUUUCCCUUUACGAAUUGUAGUUUAAAGAAGUGUUUUCUGUUGAGGUUUUGGUAAAAGUUCUUUGGAAUAGGACAUCAUAGAGGGUGAGAAUCCCGUAUUUGACCUUUACUUUCAACUUUGUGAUACACUUUCAAAGAGUCGGAUUGUUUGGGAAUGCAGUCCAAAAUGGGUGGUAAAUUUCAUCUAAAGCUAAAUAUUGGCGAGAGACCGAUAGCGAACAAGUACCGUGAGGGAAAGAUGAAAAGAACUUUGAAAAGAGAGUUAAACAGUACGUGAAAUUGUCAAAAGGGAAGCGUUUGACACCAGUGUUGUUUUUCUGAAAAUCAAUUAAAGAACUGUUUAUGCUAAGCUGUUUAGACUUUAUCAGCUAUCUGUUUAGUUUUGAGCUUUUCUUUAAUGCACUUUUCAGUUAACAAGUCAACAUCAAUUUCUUUUGCUGUAAAAAAGCUUGAGGAAGGUGGCUUGAGAUUCGUCUUAAGUGUUUAUAGCCUCUUGCCUAUGCAGUCGGAGAGAUUGAGGUCUGCAGCGUAGAUCCUUCGGGGCUAAAUGCAUUUGUGCUAAGUUAUAGCAUUUUAUAGACAACUUGUUGACUAUGAUUUGUCUUGUAGCUUACUCGCUUAUGUUAUUUUACCUACGCUUAGGAUGUUGAUAUGCAUGACUGAUAU